GAUGAACGCUAGCGGCAGGCCUAAUACAUGCAAGUCGAGGGGCAGCGCGGUAGCAAUACUGGCGGCGACCGGCGCACGGGUGCGUAACACGUAUGCAACCUACCUUCAACUGGAGGAUAGCCCGGGGAAACUCGGAUUAAUACUCCAUAACACAGGGAUCCCGCAUGGGAAUAUUGUUAAGGCUACGGCGGUUGAAGAUGGGCAUGCGUUCGAUUAGCUAGUUGGUGUAGGUAACGGCUCACCAAGGCUACGAUCGAUAGGGGGUCUGAGAGGAUGAUCCCCCACACUGGUACUGAGAUACGGACCAGACUCCUACGGGAGGCAGCAGUAGGGAAUAUUGGUCAAUGGGCGCAAGCCUGAACCAGCCAUGCCGCGUGCAGGAAGAAGGCCCUCUGGGUUGUAAACUGCUUUUGAUAGGGAACAAAUGCCACUUGCGAGUGGAGCUGAGUGUACCUAUAGAAUAAGCAUCGGCUAACUCCGUGCCAGCAGCCGACGG
rnacentral:rRNA from 1 species